rnacentral:sRNA from 1 species
AUUGGGACUGUUCUUUCCAGAGGCUCUGCACUGGCAAACUUGAUUUCCCAGUACACCCUGGCUCUACUCCUCUUUCUCUACAUCCUCGGGAAAAAACUGCAUCAAGCUACAUGGGGAGGCAUCCUCGGCAUGGUGGAGCUGGGCGCUCAGUCCAUCGUGUAUGAACUGGCCAUCAUUGUGUACAUGGUCCCUGCAGGCUUCAGUGUGGCUGCCAGUGUCCGGGUAGGAAACGCUCUGGGUGCUGGAGACAUGGAGCAGGCACGGAAGUCCUCUACCGUUUCCCUGCUGAUUACAGUGCUCUUUGCUGUAGCCUUCAGUGUCCUGCUGUUAAGCUGUAAGGAUCACGUGGGGUACAUUUUUACUACCGACCGAGACAUCAUUAAUCUGGUGGCUCAGGUGGUUCCAAUUUAUGCUGUUUCCCACCUCUUUGAAGCUCUUGCUUGCACGAGUGGUGGCGUUCUGAGGGGGAGUGGAAAUCAGAAGGUUGGAGCCAUUGUGAAUACCAUUGGGUACUAUGUGGUUGGCCUCCCCAUCGGGAUCGUGCUGAUGUUUGCAACCACACUUGGAGUGAUGGGUCUGUGGUCAGGGAUCAUCAUCUGUACAGUCUUUCAAGCUGUGUGUUUUCUAGGCUUUAUUAUUCAGCUAAAUUGGAAAAAAGCCUGUCAGCAGGCUCAGGUACACGCCAAUUUGAAAGUAAACAACGUGCCUCGGAGUGGGAAUUCUGCUGUCCCUCAGGAUCCGCUUCACCCAGGGUGCCCUGAAAACCUUGAAGGAAUUUUAACGAACGAUGUUGGAAAGACAGGCGAGCCUCAGUCAGAUCAGCAGAUGCGCCAAGAAGAACCUUUGCCGGAACAUCCACAGGACGGCGCUAAAUUGUCCAGGAAACAGCUGGUGCUGCGGCGAGGGCUUCUGCUCCUGGGGGUCUUCUUAAUCUUGCUGGUGGGGAUUUUAGUGAGGUUCUAUGUCAGAAUUCAGUGACGUGGCAGGAAAGAAAGUCAGGUCAAGUGAUGCUUUUGAGCUUACACACAAUUCACAGGCCCACCAGUGACAAUUUACUUUGAGUUAAUGUCAUUCAGGUGUGCCCAUGGAUUUUGAGGGCUGGGAAUGCAAAGACACAUUUUUCUAUAAAAAGAAAAAGCAACUAAGGUUAAAAGCUAUAUUGUGGCCCAAGACACUGUCUGAAAGAUGACAUGAGUAGUAAUUCACCACUAUCUGAACCAAGCAAGGAUCAAUGUGCUGACUGCAUUGGCCAAUGGCUUUGAUACUUCUGCUAUUUUUUUAGACACAAACCCAUAAACUAAGUGCUUAAGAAUUCAUACUGCUUGAAUUAUGUAAAAUAUAUUUUACAGUAUAUCUUUCCUU